rnacentral:tRNA from 1 species
GCGGGCGUGCCGAAAUCGGUAGCCGGAACGGACUUAAAAUCCGUAGUCAUUUCAAUGACGUGGGGGUUCAAGUCCCCCCGCCCGCA